CCUACGGGAGGCAGCAGUGAGGAAUAUUGGUCAAUGGGCGGGAGCCUGAACCAGCCAAGUCGCGUGAGGGAAGACGGUCCUAUGGAUUGUAAACCUCUUUAGGCGGGGACGUGUCCCGGCCCGGAGAGUACCCGGAGAAAAAGCAUCGGCUAACUCCGUGCCAGCAGCCGCGGUAAUACGGAGGAUGCGAGCGUUAUCCGGAUUUAUUGGGUUUAAAGGGUGCGUAGGCGGGCUUUUAAGUCAGCGGUAAAAAUUCGGGGCUCAACCCCGUCCGGCCGUUGAAACUGGGGGCCUUGAGUGGGCGG
rnacentral:rRNA from 1 species